rfam:Microdochium bolleyi strain J235TASD1 unplaced genomic scaffold Micbo1qcscaffold_2, whole genome shotgun sequence.
GGGCUUGUGGUUUAGUGGUAUAAUACUCCCUUAGCACCAGCGAGCUGGUUCGCCAGUCUCUGCCUCGACGCCGUAUGGGAGUGGUCCGGGGUUCGAUUCCCCGCGAGUCCA